rnacentral:rRNA from 1 species
CGGCUCGUCGCAUCCUGGGGCUGGAGUAGGUCCCAAGGGUUGGGCUGUUCGCCCAUUAAAGCGGUACGCGAGCUGGGUUUAGAACGUCGUGAGACAGUUCGGUCCCUAUCCGCCGCGCGCGCAGGAGUCUUGAGAAAGGCUGUCCCUAGUACGAGAGGACCGGGACGGACGAACCUCUGGUGUGUCAGUUGUCCUACCAAGGGCACUGCUGAUUAGCUACGUUCGGAACGGAUAACCGCUGAAAGCAUCUAAGCGGGAAGCCGGUUUCAAGAUGAGGACUCCCAUCCUUUGUGGAGUAAGGCCCCCGCGUGGACCACCGGGUUGAUAGGCCAGAAGUGGAAGAACGGUAACGUUUGCAGCUGACUGGUACUAAUAGGCCGAGGAUUUGCCACA